GGUGCUCAGAAAUGACCAAGGUCAGGGGAAGAUGGAGAAAAAAGUAGCCUCAUGUACCACACUGCUACAAUUUCUGCAUGAAGAACGAGACUUUGGCAAUGAAAACUGCAGCAGUUUGUUGUACAUUCACACCUCCUAACUACUACUUACUGGAUGCGUCUUCCAUCAAAGACAUGAGUUUAGUGUUUGACAGCACCUGCGCCCUUGUCGAGAUCGUUUCGCUUUUCGAAGUUUGUCUUAAUUUGCAGGGUUGAUUAUUAGAUAUCAGGUCUUGAACCUGAAACGACACUUUUGACGUACCCCUCAAACAGAACUGAUGUCGAUGAAAAAAGUGCCUCGGUUAAAGGAUGAAUGGAAACCAAAAUGAUUAAGUGAUCGUUACAAAAUUAUCGAAACUGAUCAAUUGAUUGUAAUAAAAUUGUCACCAAGUCAUGUCUAGGUAAAGCAAUGUGCCAGUACGACCGGGUUUCUGUUUGUUUAUAAAAUGAUAUGUGCGGACAAAUAUUUAGUAAGAAUCCUUAAGAAAAUGAUUGAUUGUUAAUCUUAAUUAGAAUACAAAUAUUCAAAUUUUAUAAGUGUCACUGUUGGAAGGAAACUUUGUCGCAACUCCAAGGCGAAAAUACAUACAAAAAACAUUUUCGGUAUACAUAUAUUUUGUGUUCAGUUGAAGUUGAGGGAUGAACGAGAUGAUAAUUGAAAACUGACCUAAAUUAUGCCACAUCAGAAAUAAAUGCAUUGUAAAACUGCAAAAUAUGCAGGCGUUACUGCGGAAUUGUCCACACAUAUUGAAAUGCUCUUCCUAAUAUUGUUAUUUUGCGGCGUGACGCAACCUUGGAAUAUGCUAACUUUGGUUUUCGGUGUAUUAAUAUGUGUGUCUAAUUAGUGUCGGACCUACAUGUAUAGCUUCAGUAUAGAGAGGGGGCCAAUAUGUUUGUUUUACGAAUAUCAAACCAGAGGUAGGGUGGAUAUAUAUUUUUUUAAUAUGUAUUUCUUAUUACAUUAGGAAGGCAGUGAGAAAAAUGUUUGUAAUUGGACAACCAACACUUCCUAGCAGUGUCCACAGCUGUGCUCUUUGCGACUUUUUGCUAAUGUCACAUAGCAGAAAUGUAAUGUCUUCACCAAAAAAAA